UUAUUAGUUUUGAAAGCAUAAUCUAGUUAAAUAAGGGCUCUAUAGCAGGGUAAACUGUACAAGACUGACAUCUAGUGAUUUAUACACAGUAGUGGCUAGCAUUUUACAGCACUGUUUGAGAGUAUCUCUUUACAGGAAUAUGACAAGUUAGUACUUCUAACAUGAAGUGCACAUACAGAUCCCUACAACAAACACGAAAGGCAGAGCACUGUAAAACUCAGCAAACAUGCCAACUUAGUUAGAAGGUGGUCUAAAGCAUGUUUCACAGAAAGCAAAAUGGAACUAGCGGCCCCUUUUUUGGUCUGGGACUGGUAUCUGCCCCAUUUUUGCUUCAGCAUCUACAUUUAAGUCCUCCUGCCCCAGGGACAGCUGACAUAUGCUUCUACUCUGUUUUGCACUAGCAAUGGUUACAUCAGAGUAAAAUAAAGCAGGUGCAAAAAUACUAAUUAAAAAAAAAAAAUCAGGUUGAGGCAUUUGAAACCUAAUUCGCCCCCUGCCCCCACUGAAAUAAUUUUAAAAGCAGCAAGGCCGUGGAAAAUAAAUUUCCUCUUUUAUCACAGCACUUAGAUGGAAUGUCAUUAGCCCGGAUGAGCUAAAGAGGCAGGAAAUAGCUUUUUUGCUAAAAAUCUGCUGGGGGACAGGGUAAGACUGAAUCUAAGAUGGGUUCAACUCCUGAUGUAAUGUUAUCCCCACAGCUGAGAAAGGUAGGUGAGAAAAAGGUAGAUGAAAUGUUUCUGCUCAGAUGUUAGCGGAACGGAGGCUUUUAAAAGACAGGCUGAUUCAAACCUGUCGUCUGAGUUGUGUGAGAACUGUGAUCUUUGCUAGGGCUGUAGCAGUAACAGCUCUUUCCCCUGCCCCUUCCCAAAGAACAGUAACCAACAGCCUUUGGAAGUUGUUCAGAUCAGUUAAAAAUCAACAAAAAGAAACUCUGGUUUUAUUUUUUUUUGUCAAUGACAGGCAUUUGGCAUUUCCUUCUUCUCAGCCAGUAGAUUGGGGGGGGGGGGGGCACAAACAGUUUAUGAGGUCCUUCAAAUGUCAGCCAGGAAGGCUUCUAAUUUGAUACCUCAUGCCCUGGGUUUGUAGCUUGGCACAGAGAUGUCCCAUUGACAUGUACUGUACCAUAUUAAAUUGAAAAAUUGCAUUGUCUAAAGAAAAAAAAAAUCAUUUGUCCUAGCUAGUUCAGUACACCCUAGUUUUUCCCAUGACACAUUAAGCCUUACUGAAAGGACAGGUCAAAGAACAGAAACAUUCUACCUGUUCCCAAGGAUCCUAACUUCCCUAUCUGCUUGUUUAGCCCUAUUAUUCCCUCCUCUUCAAGACAGUCUUAUCCCUAUCCCAAGCUACAAUGAACAUCUCCUCAGGGUGAAUAUAUUUCAGAUGCUGCCUUUGAGAAACAGUAUGGUUUGCCCCUGUUUAGCAGCUCAGUGCUAGGUAGCAGACAGUCUCACUUCAGGAAUGC
rnacentral:lncRNA from 1 species